UGCCAGCCGCCGCGGUAACACGGAGGCCCCGAGCGUUGUUCAGAUUUACUGGGCGUAAAGAGUGCGUAGGCGGCGAGGUAAGUCAGAUGUGAAAUCUUGGGGCUCAACCCCGAGACUGCAUCCGAUACUGCCUUGCUAGAGGACUGGAGAGGAAACUGGAAUUGGUGGUGUAGCAGUGAAAUGCGUGGAUAUCACCAGGAAGACCAAUGGCGAAGGCAGGUCUCUGGACAACUCCUGACGCUGAGGUACGAAGGCUGGGGUAGCGAAAAGGAUUAGAUA
rnacentral:rRNA from 1 species